AUCUCGUGGGUCCUAGUAACUUCCGCUGUCAGUCAUGGCUGCAGCCGUUCUGCAACAAAUACGGACCUGGUGGGUAUUGAAGGACGGCGGAGCACGGAGCCGACACACAGCAGAGCCAAUCCGCAGCCAUUCCGCAGUUGGUGGAAAUCUGCCGUAAACCCCUAGUUACAAG